GUCUCCUUCGUUCUCUCCGUUGAAGCCAUUGCAUUUGCUCGUUCUCCCUUUGGUGACUCUUAUCGUCCUCCUCGUUCGUCUUCUUUCUUUCUUUCUUUUUUCAUUUUAUCUUCUCAUUCAUUUCUUUCAUUUCCCCUUUUUAUUGUUCAUUUUCCAUUUCUUUUUCAGAUUUGGUCGUAGAACCAUGGGCAGACGAAGCUGCAGCGACGGUUGUGUGGACCAGCAGAUGGAGGAGCUCCCACUCAAAGGUAGAGAAGAAUCAUUCACGUUUGUAUCUGAGCUUGGUGUUUGGCUCGUGAUUGUUACAAAUAAUUGGUGAUUAUCAUAUCAAGUGCACACUCUUUUUAAAGGAUUGGAGAAAAUUACUCCUAGUGCAGACAUUCCAAUGUUGGUUUCCG